UACGUAGGGUGCGAGCGUUAAUCGGAAUUACUGGGCGUAAAGCGUGCGCAGGCGGUUUUGUAAGACAGAUGUGAAAUCCCCGGGCUCAACCUGGGAACUGCAUCUGUGACUGCAUUGCUGGAGUGCGGCAGAGGGGGAUGGAAUUCCGCGUGUAGCAGUGAAAUGCGUAGAUAUGCGGAGGAACACCGAUGGCGAAGGCAAUCCCCUGGGCCUGCACUGACGCUCAUGCACGAAAGCGUGGGGAGCAAACAGG
rnacentral:rRNA from 1 species